rnacentral:rRNA from 1 species
CCUACGGGCGGCAGCAGUGGGGAAUAUUGGACAAUGGGGGCAACCCUGAUCCAGCCAUGCCGCGUGUGUGAAGAAGGCCCUCGGGUUGUAAAGCACUUUCAGUGAGGAAGAACGCCUGGUGGUUAAUACCCAUCAGGAAAGACAUCACUCACAGAAGAAGCACCGGCUAACUCCGUGCCAGCAGCCGCGGUAAUACGGAGGGUGCGAGCGUUAAUCGGAAUUACUGGGCGUAAAGCGCGCGUAGGUGGCUUGAUAAGCCGGUUGUGAAAGCCCCGGGCUCAACCUGGGAACGGCAUCCGGAACUGUCAAGCUAGAGUGCAGGAGAGGAAGGUAGAAUUCACGGUGUAGCGGUGAAAUGCGUAGAGAUCGGGAGGAAUACCAGUGGCGAAGGCGGCCUUCUGGACUGACACUGACACUGAGGUGCGAAAGCGUGGGUAGCAAACAGGAUUAGAUACACGAGUAGUC